rfam:Triticum aestivum genome assembly, contig: Triticum_aestivum_CS42_TGACv1_scaffold_194610_3AL
UUACUACUCCCUCCGUCCGGAAAUACUUGUCAUCAAAAUGGAUAAAGGGGGAUGUAUCUAGAUGUAUUUUAGUUCUAGAUACAUCUCUUUUUAUCCAUUUUGAUGACAAGUAUUUUUGGACGGAGGGAGUAGAAG